CUGGAGUACGCCAUACCACUCUGGCUGGUUCUAGUAUGGCCUCAUUGAUGGGUAGAGCCACCUUACUCGGUCCUUGCAGCUGCAAGAUGUCUAGGAGCCAGUGUUGAGGAUCCUGGACCUCUGAUGAGAUCUAUAGGACACUGGCCACUCUUUGUAACAGCUCCUGGUACUGGCAAUGAUCGUCCAUAGUAGAACGCGAAGGAGGAGUGCCUGCUUCAUCUGGGGAUGAUGAAGAGGCAUCCGUCUGAACUGUCAGUACCUGCAGAUCUAAUUCCACCUCUUCCGCCUUGUACAUCAACAGAACCAGCUGGCGAGAGGGAGAGGAGUGUGACUCUUGAGAAGGGCCUUGACACCUGCCAUAAGGAUCCCAAGGACCACAAUAAGACCAGAAAGGACAAUCAAUUGGUGGUGGGGGACCCCAAGGAAAUCAGUACCAGCAGUCCCUGGGGGUGUCGUACCCAGUGGAAUGGCAAGCCUAACCCCUUGACUGUUUAUCAAGGCUCAGCUGCCUCUGCAGAAUUACCACUGUGGCCAGCUCCUCUGAGAAAGGAGCUCCCUCAGGAGGACCAGGCCAGAAAGAAGCGGAGAAUGCGGAUAAGGGAAGAAUAUAUCCUCCAGUGUUAUGUAAAUCUCGGUAUACCCUGUUGUCUGUCUGAGUGGUUCCUGCAGUUACGUUUGAUGGAUCUAGUGCAUCUGCAGUGACAGAACUGUCUUUAGAUGGAUGAGGAGGUACCAACAAUCGGUCCAGACCAGCACUCAUAGACAGAAGUGCGGAGCAUCUAUCCUUAUUUUGGUUGUACACCAAAGAGAAGGAGGACACAAUUCUGACUCAGGCCAUGUCACAGUAGGAAGAAACUAGAGAAGGGUUGACUUACACUGGCUCUUAUACCUUCGGUUGGGAGCAUGAGGAGAGCUACUGCGCAUGUGCAGAUGUCCAGGAGGUUUGACAGAAGAUACUGUGGUUGAGAAGAGCUGCCUGGUGUGCCAUUGGACUGCUCCUUUGAUCAGCUUGCCGGCACUUAGCACCUGCAAACAAUUGCACUCCAGUCCCAUUGGUUGACACAGGAGGAGGUGAUGGCAAGAA